rnacentral:ncRNA from 1 species
AUAUGUGCAGUGAAAAAGAAGAGUAAUUUUAAUAUAUUCUUUUAGAGAGAUGAUGGCUGGUGAGAAUCAUUAGAAUGUUAAAAUGAAGGGAGCUUUUGAGCAUAAUAUGUGAAAGUUGGGCUUGUGCCAAGAAGGGUGGAACCGCGGAAUGAUAAUUUCGUCCCUUUA